AGGCUAAACAAGCUCUUAAGGGCAAAAUGGUCAUAAAAACAAUGACCUCAUUCAGUGAUAUUUGGAAUGUGCCUUUAAUAGCCUUUAUUUGAACCAAACAAAUGGGUCACUGUUCAGAAUGGAAUAAGGGGCGAAUGGAAUAGCCCUUCCCCUAAACCAAAUGUGGUGUGAGUUCUUUGUGCAGUCAUUGUUUGGAUGAAUGCAUCUGGCUAUCAUGUGAGCAAAAAAACCAUGCAUGUGUUCAGUAGACAGUCAGUUUAUAUGUGUCAUGAUAGUACGUUACUCAUUUGGCAUCAUCCAUAGCAUGCUCAUUUUCUAUCUGACUAGAUAAGUUGCAUAACGAAUGAUUGAAGAAAUAAUGUGGCUGUUAUGAGAAGAGGAUUUUUAUACAUUUCUUGGUAUUGAGAUUGCAAUGUGAGGUUAAAGUAAUAACUAGUAAUAAAUAAUUGUGUAUUAGGUGCCUUUUUUUUUCAGGGACGAGGGGUGAGGGGGUGGAGUGGAGGGUGGCCAUGAAAACUUAUUUGAAGCUGUGUGAAAUUGGUAGUAAAGGAUAUGAAUCCCAAUUCUUGAAGAUAAUGCUUCUCUCUAGCUGAUAAAGGUGGUCCUUGGGUUUUAUGGUGUCAGUUGGAUUUGCUUAAUGUUUUGGUUGUAAUUUCUGGACACUGUAGGCAGGAAGAUGCUGUCUUGAUGGAUGCAUUGCAGCAUUAAGUGAUAAAAUAAAAUACAAUAUUGAGUGUCAAACUACAGUGCCUCAGUUAUUUGUUUUUAACCAUCAUGGAAACACAAUUGAUUUUUAAUAUGGUUUGCGUUGCCGAGUUCUAUUGAUAAAUAAGCUGACUUCAUGUUUUGGUUCAUGUGGGUAAGAUGGGAAUCAAUCUGUAUCACAUUUCUUGGUAAUGAAAGGACCUGAAACUUGUCUCAGCCA